GACGAACGCUGGCGGCGUGCUUAACACAUGCAAGUCGAACGGAAAGGCCCUGCUUUUGUGGGGUUCUCGAGUGGCGAACGGGUGAGUAACACGUGAGUAACCUGCCCUUGACUUUGGGAUAACUUCAGGAAACUGGGGCUAAUACCGGAUAGGAGCUCCUGCUGCAUGGUGGGGGGUGGAAAGUUUCGGCGGUUGGGGAUGGACUCGCGGCUUAUCAGCUUGUUGGUGGGGUAGGGGCUUACCAAGGCUUUGACGGAUAGCCGGCAGUAGAGGGUGACCGGCCACAUUGGGACUGAGAUACGGCCCAGACGCCUACGGGAGGCAGCAGUGGGGAAUAUUGCACAAUGGGCGGAAGCCUGAUGCAGCAACGCCGCGUGCGGGAUGACGGCCUUCGGGUUGUAAACCGCUUUCGCCUGUGACGAAGCGUGAGUGACGGUAAUGGGUAAAGAAGCACCGGCUAACUACGUG
rnacentral:rRNA from 1 species